UGGAUCUGCAGAGCUGAAGCAGAGAGACUUCUCCUGGCAUCCCAUGCCUGUGGGAACAUGAAAUCCCUAGUGCAACUGCCAGGAGCAGAGCCCCAAUGAAACUGGGUGGAGCAGUCAGUUUAUCAGCCAGUGUAAACCUCACGUUUGAACUCCAACAGUUUCAAAGGAUUCAAAGGAUCUUCUGCAGGCAGCGUUGAUAGUACCUUUCCACUGACUUGAGGUGUCCCCUGUAUGUUGGUUAUGUCUCAACUCCAUACAGUAAGUAGUACCAAGUGGGCAAUGAAGCUGCAGAAUUUGAGAACCCCGAUUCCAAUUCAACCUAAGUUAGAUGACUGAAGCUAAAGCAGAGAAAAAUCUCUCUCCUUCACGCUCAGUUGAGCCCAGAAUCUGCAAGCUUCAGUGAAGAAGAAAAGCUGUGGUCAGUGAAAGGCACAUUUCAGAAAGCUAGCCAAAAUAUGUGGGCCACCAUUAAACCCACCUUCAUCCACAACUUGGCCUUCUCUCCUGGGGAUCUAUGCAGGCAUAAGUGGCUUGUGAUUGUUGUGGAAGAAGAGAGGAUACUACCCAGUUGCUCCCUACCUGCUGAGAGCACUGACCUGCAGGAUGGACAAAUCUGGAAGAAAGGAGGGAAAGGAGUAAGUCUGAGUAAGUCUGCAGUAAAUCUGAGUUUAGUACCUCAGGCCUGUCUGGUUCUGAGAACUUUAGGCUGUUCCUGAUUUGCCUAUAGUGAGGCUGCAACAAGGCUAGUGGGGUAGAUCUACUUCAGAGGAAGGUUGAUACAGGAGCCAGAGCCAUGCUCUAGCAGGGUUGUGGUGUUGCUCUAAGAGCAAUUUUCUCUUAGUCUUCAAUACUCCCUUCAGUGUAAGGCUUACCUAAAAUGAGGUACGAAAAACUGCUUAAGGGACCACAAUAUUGAAUGCUCACAAGAUGAGCUCUUCUGCUAUUGGAGGUGGAACCAGACUGAGGAGUGCACAUCUCAAGAUGGGUGAUGCAGUAUCCCAUCAUUUCUUUGUUCAGUUUAGCCUGUUCUGGCUCAAACACAUCACAUUAAAUGUGAUGUUCUCUAGAAGAGAAAAUGGUCUGAAUAUGGAGGGGCAGGGAAUAUGAUGGAUGAAGAAGAGUUAUAAAAUGAGAAAAGGAAAAAAAAAAAAAGCAAAGGGAAAGGAGAGGAGAGGGACGUGACUCAGAGUGUCACGGCUUCCCUCCCCCUCCCUGCAAUACCAGCUCAAGUCAGGGCUGGGCCAAGGGUAAUUGGUGCCCUAGGUGAACUGUGUACCUUGGCACCCCCACCACUUCCAAUAUAGAGGAAAAUAAGAAGUCUACAAUGAACUUUUACAUGUACUUAUUUAAUAUUCACAAUGAACAAUAAAACAAUAAAAACAAAUUUUUAUUGA